UACGUAGGGUGCGAGCGUUGUCCGGAAUUAUUGGGCGUAAAGAGCUUGUAGGCGGUUUGUCGCGUCUGCUGUGAAAAUCCGGGGCUCAACCCCGGACUUGCAGUGGGUACGGGCAGACUAGAGUGUGGUAGGGGAGACUGGAAUUCCUGGUGUAGCGGUGGAAUGCGCAGAUAUCAGGAGGAACACCGAUGGCGAAGGCAGGUCUCUGGGCCACUACUGACGCUGAGAAGCGAAAGCGUGGGGAGCGAACAGG
rnacentral:rRNA from 1 species